AUUUAGGGGUUAGCAAUAAUUCAACAUGUUUUUGUUUUUUUUUAUAAGUAUGUUCCGGUUUAAGUGGAUGUUAUACCGAAUUACCGGUACUGCUCUUGGACCAGGUGCUUCGGAUUAACUUGUAAAUUAAACACAAAACCGAAACAAAAAAGAGCAUCAGAAAUAUUUUGGAAAAAGCUGUUCGGGCUGGAGAUAAUCACAAGGGAAUGGUUGGUCGUCACAAGCUGCAACAGAUCAGUCAUUGAAAGACACCAUGGAGAAGUUUCCAAGCUUUUGAAGCAAAGGUACACAUGUGUGGUUGACCACAGAGAUGCUCUAAUCCUUUGAUAAAGAGGGUUGAGCUGAGGGACAACAUGUAAUUUUCAUCUUUCGAGCUUGUUGACCUCUGGGAACAUGAAAGGAAAAGGUCUCGGCGCAACGAUUUGGUCUCUUCUUCUAACAAGUUGAUGUUAAAGUGCUCGAUCCCCUGGACCCUGAUAAAGCGAUCUUGCAUAUCUUUGCCCUGAAAAAAGUGGAAAAUGAGCAUCGCAUUCAUCAAUCAGUAAGAAUAAGGAAGUGGAGCCCUACCAUGAUAGCACAUGGUCUUGCUUGUAUGGCUUGUUACAGGGAUUCUGGUAAGGCCUAAGACAUGCAAUGAGUCUGGGGUAUGUGGAGAGUACAGAAGGGUCCUCAAUUCUUUGGUCCCAGAAUAGAUUAUGCUGGCAAUUAGUUUUCCAGACCUUGAAAGCUACGGUACUGGAGACCUAGACAAUUUUGUUGACUGGAUGGAAGAAAAGUGGAGCUAGUUUCGCCAUUUUAACAGUAAGGUAAGCUCUAUUGUCUUCAUCUACUCAAGUUGGGUUUUGAACCUUUUGUUAUAGAUAAUACAAAGAAGAGAAUAAAGACGAAUAAACCAUAGCUUUGAAAUGUGAAAUGGUUGUUUUCAAUGGAGACUUUGUUAAGACUUGCAAAUAAUUGAUGGAAGUCUGAGAGUUUAUUUUUCAAUGGAAGGGCCCAUUAGGUUCAGGGUUACAAAAUGGAUAGUUCAACCUUUUCUCAAUAUGCUCACCCAUCUUUUCAAGGUCUAAACGAGGACCUCCAAUAUUUUAAGUGGCUAAUUAACCGAAAUACUUCUAAUUAAUUUUUUUUAAUUGGUAGUAUUAAAUAGUGAUAUCACUACCAGAAAUUCGCUAAAUAGC